rnacentral:misc_RNA from 1 species
UAAUUAAUUAAUUAAACUCUUUAACUAAUAAAUCAAAUUAAUAUUUCUUGAUAGGUUCACAACUAAUUGACAAUGAGAUUAUAAUAUCAACACCUUGAUAUUACUAGAAAAACUUUUAUACACCAAGAGUGAAAUCCCCAUUUAACUCUUGGCUCUCAUAAGUCAAAAUUGACACCUAACGUAAUGUAUUAUGGCUACCCAAUUAGUAACGAAUGUUUUUCUCAUUUCAUCAACAUUCCAUGAACCAUAUUUGUAAACAAAAAAUUAGCAAAAAAAAGGUUGAAACUCGAUUGACCCAUGUGACCCAUGAUCAAGUAGACUAGGUUUUACAAGCUUUUAAUGGGUUCUAGAAUUUCCAGUUUUUAAGAGUGACCCUGACCAGCCACAGGCCCGGUUCCCAAGUUUUCUGGUUGAACCAGCUAGGUAGGUCUAGGUUUCACAACCAUGGUAUUAAGUCCUUGGUCAACAACAGAAACAAAUUUUUAAAAAAGAUAAAAAUAGUAUUAAUAAACAUCAAAUAAUUAAUAAAAUUGAUGUAAGAGAGAGUUUAGUGUUCCAUGGCUUGAAUCUUUCUAAUCACCCACAACAAUAGGGGAAAAAAAUUAUAUCUAGAGUUCAAUUCUCGAAUUUUGAAAAGACAAACUUUGCCUAUAGAGUGCGUGGCAGCCAUGGCUGUUGGAACUUGGAAUUACUCAAGAAAGUUAAAUUCUUGUGUUUAGUUUGAAAGGGAUUUUUUUUUUUUUGGCAGUUAAAUUCCUAAAUCUGUGCUUCCCAUCUUUAUUUUUCUAUGUACAUGAAGCACUUUACCAUCUCAAUGGGUAGGAAAGAUACUUUCCUAUGAGGUGGGAAAUUAAAUGAAUAGAUAUAGACACUAAAGCCUUCAAAUCUAUUAAUAUUUACACAAAAUAACCUCCUACAUCUUAUUAUUUUAAAAGAUAUAUAAUUCUUAUCAAUAAAAAUUAUAUCAUAUUAUAUAUUUAUUUAUCACAAAUCAUAUAAUUUAAACCAUCAAUAUUUUAUAUAUUUUAAGUGUUUCAUCUGAAAACAAAUAUCUGUAUUUCAAGCUAGUGUGGCAAUUAUGAUAAAUUUCAUUGCAUUAUGAUAUGUGAUUCUAGAUUAAAUAAAAAAAUAUAUAUUUAGACUAGGGUAUUAUGGUAAUGUAACUCACUAUUUCACUUUAUUUGUACUUUCUCAUACAAUAACCAAAUUUAAUAAAUGUACAACUACUAACCCUUAAUCCCAAACUGGUUGGGGCUGACUAUAUCGAUUCUUUCUUGCCAUUCAGCUCUAUUAGACACCAAGAAAACUUAAUAAAUGUACAUUUUAAAGAAAAUUUAAACAGCAACCAAACAAGAAAACUUUACAUUCUUCAAAUUACUUGUCUAGACAUCUAACCACCAAACACUCACCCUCAUAAGGUAUAGAGGAUUUCCAGAAAAGGAAACAGAAGAUAAUGAGAGACAUAAUUACUAAGCCAGAAGAAUUACAAAAACAUUAAAAUAAUAAAAUAUGAUAAACAACAACAGAGGGCUGUAAAGGAUGAUAGAAGUAAAGAAGAAGGAAAUUGG